CAGACAUGUCAGAAUGAAAUUGCUAUGCAGACGGAUCCCCCUCCACGGAUACACUACAAGUCCAUGCAGGCGCGACCACGUGUCAGGUCAGCUGGACUGCAAGUUCCAAUUCAGGAUCUCUGCCAAAUCCAGGAUCACCGUCACCAUUAUCCGCAUGUUCGCUCCCGUCUGUGUCUCCAUUUUGAAUACUGUGUCUCGAGCUGCUCUGUUUCCACCACGUUAAACUCGCCCGCAUGAUCUGAUUCCACGACACCGGCAUCCUCUUAAAUAAACUCCUCUUCUUGAAGGUGGAACGAGUCUAUUGACUACUCACUGUUACUCGAUUCUGUUGAAAUAUCCGAGCCAGAGUCCGACAUCGCCACAUCUGCCAUGCUGUCUGUGUAUUCAACUGGUGGACUGUAUUCUACUUGUGACGUCAGAACACGGCGUCGGCUGUUUCCGGUAGCACCGAUGUCAACAUCGGUGGUCGACAUACUAAAUCGUGAUUUAUUAAAUACUGUGGGCAUAGUGUCAUAAAUAACACAUUAUGUUGCACCACAAAUAGCAUUUACUAUCAUCAGUAGAAUUUCAUGUUUAUCAUUUCGUAGGCCCUUUAAGUCCCGUCACUCUUGUCUAGUGUCGUCUUGCACUUCCUGUUUUGUUUUGAAACUCACCUUUCCCUCUCGUUCCAGGUCACUUAACUUCCUGCCUUUGUGUGUUUUCCCGCUUCUGUGAUCGUCUGCCCCACCCCUGAUUGUUGUCACGUCAAAUCAAAUUUAUUUAUAUAGCCCAAUAUCACAAAUUAUACAUUUGUCUCAGUGUGCUUUACAGAUUUAUGUCCUUAAGGCAUGCUUGAAGUUUAGCCAAUUGAUUGGUUUCGUCUGUUUUAAUUGAUAGAUAUAAUUGGGUAUCAUCUGCAUAACAAUGAAAGUUUAUAGAGUGGUUUCUUAUAUUGCCCAAAUAUGACCCGUGUCCCCUUACCUCAUGUAUAAAUAGUCCUGUCUCCACUUGUCUUGUGUCAGUCCGUCUUGUUAAUCUAGUCAAGUGUCUUGUAAGAUUAAUCAAGUGUAUGGUUGUU
rnacentral:lncRNA from 1 species